CAGAUGUCGGACUUGUCUAGAACACCUUUAAGGAUUAACAAAAGUGCGAAUGUGGACAACAAUCUGUGUCAGGACAGUUUCACAGCUGCACACUUCACCCUAGAGACCUUUUAAAGAAACAACACACUUACAGAUAAAAUAAAAGAGGAGGUAACUGGUUGAGACAGAGAGAAGGAAGAAGUCUACAGAAUCCUUCCUGUGGGAUGGUCUGGAUUUGUGACUGUGUUAUUCGAGUUCUGUCAAACACCCGAGAACACCAGAACAAAACAAAAGUAAUGAUCAUGAGAGACUGAACUGAAACUGACUCAUAAAGUCUACUUCACCUUUGACCGGCUCUUGUUAUUACCUCUGCCAUCCAGCAACAGCACGAUGGGAUGCAAGCCAGAGUUCUCAUGGGAGGAGUCCGUCAGUGUUGUUCCACCUCCUCCUCUCAGCAAUCACUCGCCUCUUCCACAUGCCAUGAAACACAGAGAUGGUGUCCAUCUAGAAUAUCAUCUUCAUGGUAGCCCUGUUCAACAUCCGGCAGCUCCAGGCCAAGCAAAGACAAAAACCGGCCACAUCUAUGAGCUCCAGUAUGCUGAACACUGUGCUGUCCUGGCAACACGUCCAGAUUCCAUGCAGCAUGCUCUAGAUACCAUCUCCAGCUUCUAUCAAUUGUUUGGUCUGCAAGUCAACUUCAAGAAACUCCAGGUCAUGGCUCAACUCUCCAACCAAUCCCCCUCACCACCAGCUUCCAUACCAAUGGAAAACCACUGGGCCUUGUCUAAAAUUUCACCUAUCUUGGCUCCACAUGCUCUCAUCUGACUGCUCUCUUGACACCUGGUGACCUGUAUUAGCUUGAUUACAAAAAGGAUGUGUAAAAUCACCCCUUUGAGCAGACAGAGCAGCAAAUCUCACUUUAUUUUUGCAACUUUAACUCUCAACCAGCACAUUUUAAUGAGGCCAGACAGACAAAAUAAAGAUUCACUGUGAAGUUCUAUGUUUUAUUUCAUCUACACCCAUUUGGAUCAAAUCACCCAUUCACAGCUUCCACACGCUGCACAUGCACGUAGUGGGCAGAUAGAGAAAGCGAAAAAGAUGAACCCACACACACUGACUGCUGCAGCAGGGCAGAGCUGCACAGUCACACUGACACUUUGAUGUGUAUCUUUAUCACAUCACGUCUUUAUAAGCCACGUUGUCCUCUGUCCGUGCACGCUCUGCAGUGUCAUGAUAACACUGCAUGUAGAUGCAACACGGUAAAAGCAGAUUUUCAAAGGCAAACCGCACAAUGGAUGAAACAAACACGUGUCUGACAGCGUAAAAGCUGUGAAAUUAAGAUUGUGCAUCAGUGAUGAAUGAUAAAAGCACACAUGGAGGUCAGCGAGAAAGAGGGGACCUGAGAAGAAGAAAUAAAUAAAUAACUGGGUCAUU